rnacentral:rRNA from 1 species
UACGAAGGGGGCUAGCGUUGCUCGGAAUCACUGGGCGUAAAGGGUGCGUAGGCGGGUCUUUAAGUCAGGGGUGAAAUCCUGGAGCUCAACUCCGGAACUGCCUUUGAUACUGAGGAUCUUGAGUUCGGGAGAGGUGAGUGGAACUGCGAGUGUAGAGGUGAAAUUCGUAGAUAUUCGGAAGAACACCAGUGGCGAAGGCGGCUCACUGGCCCGGUACUGACGCUGAGGUGCGAAAGCGUGGGGAGCAAACAGG